GAUGAACGCUGACAGAAUGCUUAACACAUGCAAGUCUUUGGCGAAGCUGAGCUCGCACAGCCUAGCCAAGGCGGACGGGUGAGUAACGCGUAAGGAACUUGCCCUGCAGUCAGGGAUAACAGACGGAAACGACUGAUAAGACCUGGUAAAGUCAGGCGGACUCAUGUCCAGCCUGAUGAAAAGAGAUGCUGCAGGAGAGCCUUGCGUCCUAUUAGCUUGUUGGUGGGGUAACGGCCCACCAAGGCGAUGAUAGGUAGCCGGCCUGAGAGGGUGGACGGCCACAAGGGGACUGAGAUACGGCCCUUACUCCUACGGGAGGCAGCAGUGGGGAAUAUUGGACAAUGGGGGCAACCCUGAUCCAGCAAUUCUGUGUGCACGAUGAAGGUUUUCGGAUUGUAAAGUGCUUUCAGCAGGGAAGAAAAAAAUGACGGUACCUGCAGAAGAAGCGACGGCUAAAUACGUG
rnacentral:rRNA from 1 species